CCGGCCAAGAGCAAAGAGCCGCGAAGCAGCGGCCGCAAUUCACUACUGAUUGUUGAUCCUGGCUCAGGACGAACGCUGGCGGCGUGCCUAAUACAUGCAAGUCGAGCGAGCUUGCCUAGAUGAUUUUAGUGCUUGCACUAAAUGAAACUAGAUACAAGCGAGCGGCGGACGGGUGAGUAACACGUGGGUAACCUGCCCAAGAGACUGGGAUAACACCUGGAAACAGAUGCUAAUACCGGAUAACAACACUAGACGCAUGUCUAGAGUUUGACUAGAUGGUUCUGCUAUCACUCUUGGAUGGGCCUGCGGUGCAUUAGCUAGUUGGUAAGGUAACGGCUUACCAAGGCAAUGAUGCAUAGCCGAGUUGAGAGACUGAUCGGCCACAUUGGGACUGAGACACGGCCCAAACUCCUACGGGAGGCAGCAGUAGGAAUCUUCCACAAUGGACGAAGUCUGAUGGAGCCACGCCGCGUGAGUGAAGAAGGGUUUCGGCUCUAAACUCUGUUGGUAGUGAAGAAAGGAUAGAGGUAGUAACUGGCCUUUAUUUGACGGUAAUUA
rnacentral:rRNA from 1 species